AAUUUUCUAUCUUUCUACAAAUCUAACUUAACUUCAAAACCAGGAAGAUUCGGCCAAGUCUAGAAUUUGUCCUUCAUUGGCAUCAUAAAAUACAAAAUGGAAUCUUCAACAAAUAAGGGGGGAAAAACAUCAACAACCUCUUUAUGCAAUCAAUCAAAUCCUAAACUCAUUCAACAAACCACCCAAAAUCCCACAAUCACAACUAAUAUUGUUGAUGAACUGUCCACUAGUUAGAAAGAAAUUAGCAUUAGAUCCAUUAAUAUGAAUUGAGAAUUCAGCAAUACAUACACAAACCUUACCCAAAUUGUUAAUCCCAAAACCCAUUCUGCCAAACAUAGAAGAGAGAGAGAGAGA
rnacentral:misc_RNA from 1 species